UACGUAGGGGGCAAGCGUUGUCCGGAUUUAUUGGGCGUAAAGAGCUCGUAGGUGGUUCGGUAAGUCGGAUGUGAAAUCUCCAGGCUCAACCUGGAGGGGUCAUUCGAUACUGCCGUGACUAGAGGUCGGUAGGGGAGUGUGGAAUUCCUGGUGGAGCGGUGAAAUGCGCAGAUAUCAGGAGGAACACCCGUAGCGAAGGCGGCACUCUGGGCCGAUACUGACACUGAGGCGCGAAAGCGUGGGGAGCAAACAGG
rnacentral:rRNA from 1 species